AUACGGAGGAUCCGAGCGUUAUCCGGAUUUAUUGGGUUUAAAGGGUGCGCAGGCGGCCAUUUAAGUCAGCGGUUAAAUCGUGGGGCUCAACCCCAUUCUGCCGUUGAUACUGGGUGGCUUGAUUGCGGUCGAGGUUGGCGGAAUUCGUUGUGUAGCGGUGAAAUGCAUAGAUAUGACGAAGAACACCGAUUGCGUAGGCAUCUGACCAGACCGCAAAUGACGCUCAUGCACGAAAGUGCGGGGAUCGAACAGGAUUAGAUACCCUGGUAGUCCGCACAGUAAACGAUGAAUACUUGUUUUCGGCGAUAUAAUGUCGGAGGCAAAGCGAAAGCGAUAAGUAUUCCACCUGGGGAGUACGCCGGCAACGGUGAAACUCAAAUGAAUUGACGGGU
rnacentral:rRNA from 1 species